rnacentral:misc_RNA from 1 species
AACCUAGCACACCUGCGGUGUGUACCUGCGGAAGGAUCAUUACAGAGUUGCAAAACUCCCUAAACCAUUGUGAACGUUACCUAAACCGUUGCUUCGGCGGGCGGCCCGGGUCCUUCCCGGCGCCCAUCGGCCCUCGCGGGCGCCCGCCGGAGGUAAACCAAACUAUUGCAUUGUAUGGCCUCUCUGAGUCUUCUGUACUGAAUAAGUCAAAACUUUUAACAACGGAUCUCAGAUCGGAAG